CAACAACUUCACAAAGAAGGAAAAAAAGUAACGAAGCUCUCACUUCAUCGGAAGAACUGCUGAUCCAAAAGAAAAUCUUCAGAACCUUGUGAAUAAAAAUCUAAAUCAAGUGAGAAAUCCUUGCAAAACUUGCUUAACCUAGAUCGAUUGAAACCAAAAACAAAAGAAAAGGAAAAUAAAAAAUUGGGGCAGUAGCGAAAUUAUGAGAACAUUUAAAUACUAACCACGGCGAUCUUCCCCUCCUCCUAACCGUGGGGAUCUUCGUCUUCCCCUCUUCUCAGACUCGGGGCGAUCUUCUUCCCCUCCUCCUAACCGCGGCGAUUUUCCCCUCCUCUCGGACCCGCGUGCUCGGUGCUUCCAACUCCAAGCCCUCGCACGACACGGCCGCAUGGCUGCACAGUGCACGGCGAAUAGAAAAGGGUUAGGGACCUAGGGUUUGUGAGAACUCCUAGUG
rnacentral:lncRNA from 1 species